GGGGCAGUAGCGCCCCCUGCUCUGAUAAGGAUAAGGAUAAACUUUAUUGAUCCCACAGUGGGUAAAGUUCACCGAGCUGCUUCACUGAGGAGAGUCUUUUAGUUUUCAGGUAAUAUGAUGGCGAAGAAAAUGUGUUACUGCAGUAAAGAUUCCACUGAAUUAUUAUUUGAUCCAUGAUCGAGAGCACUCAGUUCUUCUCCAGUUUGUUGCUGCGGUCCGGUGAACAGGUGAGCUCCAGGUGAACAGGUGAUGUCAGCAGCAGGUCAGUCUGUGAUUGGAGCAGUAAAACCCAUCUACAUGAAAUUAAAUGUUAUGCUAAUGUAGAUGCACUCAUGUGACAUAAAGUGGACUAGGUUUAGAGCCAGGAUUUUAAACUUUUGUAUCUCUGUGUUCCCCCCGCUGACCUGAGCAGGUGGUACGUUCCACUCAGACACACCUGACGGGGUCAGACCACCAACACACAAGCCCCACCGCUGCAGUUUAUUUAACCUUCAAGUAGUUUUAUCGAUCUUUUCAUGGUUUCUUCAUCUUUGAAUGAAUAUUUUUGGCACUAAGUGUCAACUUUUUGAACGGACUCUGCUCGUCAGAUGGAGGAACGUCAGGGAGUUUGUUGGAAGAUUCAGCAGAGGCUCAUGGGUAACGUGGUUCUGAGGCAGCCAGGAGCAGAGGCUCAUGGGUAACGUGUCUCUGAGCCAGCCAGGAGCAGGGCUAACAGUUCCCACCUGUUGCCAGCCUUUGUGCGAAGCUCAAAGUCGGGCCAGUGGACGGCAUUUGCAGAGACUAUGCGCCUGGGAAGAGCUUCAGCUUUCAGAUCAGAGGUGACCCGGGUGCAAAAGUCAGCCUGGUGGCUGUGGACAACGCUGUGUAUCUUCUCAACAAGGCCAGACUCACACAGAGGAAGAUUUGGGACGUGGUGGAGCAUGGAGACAUUGGCUGCACCCGUGGGGGAGGCUGAGAUGCUAAGGGGGUGUUUUCAGAUGCAGGACUGAUGCAGGACUGCUUUAGGACUGCUUUACUCCUCCAGUACCGGGUUCAAAACUACAACCACACAAACCCUGCAGUGUCCAGGCAGUACCAGAAGGAGACGCUCUGCUGAACUGUUGAAGCGUAAAGCUCAGCUGGAGAGCCACUACAAGGAGAAGCUGCAGCAUCGCUGCUGUAAAGACGGCCUCAGGGAGAUCCCGAUGCCGUAU